rnacentral:rRNA from 1 species
AAAACUUUCAACAACGGAUCUCUUGGUUCUGGCAUCGAUGAAGAACGCAGCGAAAUGCGAUAAGUAAUGUGAAUUGCAGAAUUUAGUGAAUCAUCGAAUCUUUGAACGCACAUUGCGCCCCUUGGUAUUCCGAGGGGCAUGCCUGUUCGAGCGUCAUU